CUUCAGACUCAAUGAGUAAAUUUCAUUGUAUUUAAUAUAGGUAGUGGAAACAAUCAUUUUCUAAGAGAACAAUUUCAGAGUAUACUAAAUUCUAAUAUUGAGAGAACACUAGCUUUAUACUUGGUGAGUAAAUUGCUCAGCAAGGAGAACUGAAACAAAUGCUAUUAAGAAAACAACUUAUAAAAAGCAAGCCCUAAACACUGUGAAAAAUGUAAGACUACAGGUGUAGAUGUAUACAUAUAGAAAUGUCAAAAUAGGGCUGCAUUUGUGCCUGACAAUUGGAAAAAUACUAAUAUUGUUCCACUAUAUAAAUGGAACAGUAGCAAAAAUGAAUCCAAAAAUGAAAGGGACAUUAGUUUGUUGUCUUGAAAGGUGCUUUGCAACUGAAAGGGUACAAAAGCAACAUUUGGCUGUAUGUUGGGCAGAGGAUGUGCAGAUCAGAUUUUUGCUCUUGAGAAAUGUAUGGAUGUGGGAAGGAAAGUUUAUUAUACAUCUGAUUUAGAAAAGCCACAUAAUAAAGUGAAUAGGCUUGGAUUAUGGAAUAUUUCAUACAAGUUAGAGUUGAAGACUGAUGGCUGAAUGUGGUAAGAGCAGGAUAAGAUGAAAAUAAAGCAUGCAUGAAAAUAAACAGAAUGUUUAGUGAAUGGAUUCAACACAGAACAGGGAAUAAAACAAAGAUGUAUUAUGGCCCUUUGGUUGUUUAAUAUAAUAUUAGGAAUGUUUGUGAUGAUGGUGGAGUAGUAUUAGCUGGGGAUAUGAAUGUUCAUGUACUUUUGUAUGCAGAUGAAGGCUUAGAACCUGAAUGAUGUACAGUGAAUCUUAGAGUGCAUAAUGCAAUGAGAUGUAUGGAUCUGAAAUGAAUGUAUCAAAGAUCAAGGUAGUUGGGUUUGACAGGGAAAACUGAGUGAAUAAUUGCAAGUUAUAGAUCAAUGGCAAAAAAAACUAGUGCUAGCAGAUGAAUUUGUGUACUUCCAGUUUUAUAAAGAUGGGGAAAUGGAUGGAGAAAUGUUAAGAUAGUAGAAAACUACUGCUCUCUUUGUUACAUGGAAGUGAGAGCUGGCUAUGUCAGGAACAACAUAAAAGUAAAUUGAGUGCAAGUGUGAAUGGUAAAAUAAGAGAGGGUCUAGAAUGAUUGGGGGCUGAAUGAAUGUAGAUUGAGUAAGUCACCAGUACGAAAUAAGUAUGUUGACAUGGUUGGUCAUACUGGAAAAAUGAAUGAGGAUGGAAACACAAAAUAAGUAUAUGAAGGAAAGGUGAACGGGUUAAGAGGACAGAGAAGACUCAGAAAGUCAUGGUUGGAUGAAGUUGAUGAAAUCUCAGAAAGAGGUGAGAAUUUCAAAGCACAAAAGGCAGCAUAUGAAGCCACGUAUGAACAUAGUGGAAGCAAAGUUGGCUUGCAGGGAGAGAACGUUAUGGAGACAUCUACUGAAUGGUAUUGGUAUAAAAUGUAGCUAUAGUUUCUUUUCAUUUCUUAUGCCUCUAAUUUCUUUGAUUUACUAUUUCUUACUCCCUUUUUGUCUUAUGCAUAUCGUUGUUUGCUUGACCCCUAGCCCUAGUGUAUCAUCAACUCUACUGAAUUCUUUUCAGAUUGUUUUAUUUAUCUGUAUCCAUGUACCAUUUUCCAAUAUCUGUCAUUAUUUUUCAAUUAUAGGUGCAGAAGCCUGUCUGUCCAAUUUAAAUAAGGAAGAGGUAGAAAUGUUCAAGAAAGUGAUGGUAUUCUAUUCAUGCCACAACACAACUUUAAUAUUAAUGAUAUAAUAAUAAUAGCAUUGAAAGCAAAAAAUAUCAGUCUAGCAAGUUAAAUUGACAGGUUACACCCAUUUGAAAAUUUCUAAUAUACACCAUUUUGAAAAUUAUUGGAUGAAAAAUUACUUCCAUCUAUUUAAAUUAAUAGAAUUAGAAAUGCAAAACAAUUCUAUUCUUAGUCUUCUAGAAAUAUACAUUUACUAAUACAGACAUGAAAUUUUCCAGAUUUACUCAACUGUACACAUCAAUGAUUUAUAAUCCCAGAUGUGUUUCCUGUCCAUGUAAUUAAUGAAGAAAGCAAAAUAACAAAAAAGCAAAAACAAGUUCUAAUCCUACAAUCUCAAUGCUGGUAUGGUAACAUAGUUCCAUCUGAAAAACUUCAAUUACUAGCAUAGUUAACUAUGAUGCGAGUAAGCACUGUUCAAUUCUAACUUCUCACAAAGUUCAUUAAUACAGCCCUAAGGACACUUGUUCCUACAUGUACCCAUUCCCAAGACUAUUAUUUCCUGCUCCCUUGAAGUAGCACGUUCAGUAUUCAGUAAAAAAUAUGAAUUUCCCACUUGGAGCACCAAUGAGGUCAGGUGGAAACUGAGACUACGGUCUUUUCUCGGUCAUGCUGUCAUAGUCGAGAAGAAUGGAUUACUACAAGCACUGGCAUGUAAUACGAAACCUACACAGUUGGUUGAUGCUUUUUGAAGAGGAGUGAACAGGUGUUUAUCUUGGUGCCAUCUACCUAUGAGGCCUAAAAGAUUCAAGGAAAAAUACACAUAAAAUUGCAAAAGUGGAAAUUUUAGGAUUAAACUGUUUUAUUACAUUCUUCUUGAAUAUAGUAUCAAGAAGCAAAGAUGUAUUAUAUAUGCAUAAGAGGAAAGAGAUGGAAACAGCUUAGACUUUAUUUUCAUUCUUUGCACAUUGAUUUUAAAA